rnacentral:rRNA from 1 species
CCUACGGGUGGCAGCAGUGAGGAAUAUUGGUCAAUGGGCGCGAGCCUGAACCAGCCAAGUAGCGUGAAGGAUGACUGCCCUACGGGUUGUAAACUUCUUUUAUAAGGGAAUAAAGUGAGGCACUUGUGCCUUUUUGUAUGUACUUUAUGAAUAAGGAUCGGCUAACUCCGUGCCAUCAGCCGCGGUACUACGGAGGAUCCGAGCGUUAUCCGGAUUUAUUUGGCUUAACGGGAGCGUAGGUGGGUGGUUAAGUCAGUUGUGAAAGUUUGCGGCUCAACCGUGAAAUUGCAAUUGAUACUGGCAGUCUUGAGUAGAGUAGAGGGGGGCGGAAUUCGUGGUGUAGCGGUGAAAUGCUUAGAGAUCAGGAAGAACUCCGAUUGCGAAGGCAGCUUACUAGACUGCCACUGACAUUGAUGCGCGAAAGUGUGGGUAUCGAACAGGAUUAGAUACCCGAGUAGUC